rnacentral:rRNA from 1 species
CAGGAUGAACGCUAGCGGCAGGCUUAACACAUGCAAGUCGAGGGGUAUAGUUCUUCGGAACUAGAGACCGGCGCACGGGUGCGUAACGCGUAUGCAAUCUACCUUUCACAGAGGGAUAGCCCAGAGAAAUUUGGAUUAAUACCUCAUAGCAUAGUAGUCUCGCAUGAGAUCACUAUUAAAGAUUUAUCGGUGAAAGAUGAGCAUGCGUCCCAUUAGUUAGUUGGUAAGGUAACGGCUUACCAAGACUACGAUGGGUAGGGGUCCUGAGAGGGAGAUCCCCCACACUGGUACUGAGACACGGACCAGACUCCUACGGGAGGCAGCAGUGAGGAAUAUUGGACAAUGGGCGCAAGCCUGAUCCAGCCAUGCCGCGUGCAGGAUGACGGUCCUAUGGAUUGUAAACUGCUUUUAUACAGGAAGAAACACCUCUACGUGUAGAGACUUGACGGUACUGUAAGAAUAAGGAUCGGCUAACUCCGUGCCAGCAGCCGCGGUAAUACGGAGGAUCCAAGCGUUAUCCGGAAUCAUUGGGUUUAAAGGGUCCGUAGGCGGUUUAGUAAGUCAGUGGUGAAAGCCCAUCGCUCAACGGUGGAACGGCCAUUGAUACUGCUAGACUUGAAUUAUUAGGAAGUAACUAGAAUAUGUAGUGUAGCGGUGAAAUGCUUAGAGAUUACAUGGAAUACCAAUUGCGAAGGCAGGUUACUACUAAUUGAUUGACGCUGAUGGACGAAAGCGUGGGUAGCGAACAGGAUUAGAUACCCUGGUAGUCCACGCCGUAAACGAUGGAUACUAGCUGUUGGGCGCAAGUUCAGUGGCUAAGCGAAAGUGAUA